UACGUAGGGCGCAAGCGUUGUCCGGAAUUAUUGGGCGUAAAGAGCUCGUAGGCGGUCUGUCGCGUCGGCUGUGAAAACCCGAGGCUCAACCUCGGGCCUGCAGUCGAUACGGGCAGACUAGAGUGCUGUAGGGGAGACUGGAAUUCCUGGUGUAGCGGUGAAAUGCGCAGAUAUCAGGAGGAACACCGGUGGCGAAGGCGGGUCUCUGGGCCGAUAUUGACGCUGAGGAGCGAAAGCGUGGGGAGCGAACAGG
rnacentral:rRNA from 1 species